CCUACGGGUGGCAGCAGUAGGGAAUCUUCGGCAAUGGACGAAAGUCUGACCGAGCAACGCCGCGUGAGUGAAGAAGGUUUUCGGAUCGUAAAACUCUGUUGGUAGAGAAGAACGUUGGUGAGAGUGGAAGCCCAAUCAGUGACCGGAACUUACCCGAAAGGGGCGGGCUAAUUAGGGCCCACAGCCCGGGGAAAACGGAGGGUCCGAAGGGUGUUCGGGUUUAUUGGGCGUAAAGCGAGCGCAGGUGGUUUAUUAAGUCUGGUGUAAAAGGCAGUGGCUCAACCAUUGUAUGCAUUGGAAACUGGUAGACUUGAGUGCAGGAGAGGAGAGUGGAAUUCCAUGUGUAGCGGUGAAAUGCGUAGAUAUAUGGAGGAACACCGGUGGCGAAAGCGGCUCUCUGGCCUGUAACUGACACUGAGGCUCGAAAGCGUGGGGAGCAAACAGGAUUAGAUACCCGAGUAGUC
rnacentral:rRNA from 1 species